rnacentral:lncRNA from 1 species
AGGCUCUCUCCAAAAGAAAUGCAUCUUCCCAGGCAUGAACAGGGAUCAGAUGGGAUGUGUGCGCCUGUCAAGAUCCCACUCUGGAACAGAAGAUCAGAGCAAACGGGGGCUGAGGAGAACAAAAGCUGACCCAAACCUUUGACCUAAAUUUAACAUAAAGCCAAAUGAAACCUUAGAGAUUUUCAGCUUCUGAACUCCUCUGAAGUCCUCCACAGUGUCAAGGCUGGACUGAUGUGCCAGCAGGGCUCUCGCUGUCCCUGUCCCAGUGCCUGUCAGCAGUGGUGGCACCUUGUUCAGACACCCUGACCAAAAUGCCUUCAGGGUAUCUGCUGGGUGCCUUUGUCUUUGGAGGUUUGGAUAGUCCUGUCCAUGCACUGACUACUAUUUAAUGCCUGAAAGAAAAUAAGGACUGUGACA